UACGGAGGGUGCAAGCGUUAUCCGGAUUCACUGGGUUUAAAGGGUGCGUAGGUGGGUUGGUAAGUCAGUGGUGAAAUCCCCGAGCUUAACUUGGGAACUGCCAUUGAUACUAUCUGUCUUGAAUGUCGUGGAGGUAAGCGGAAUAUGUCAUGUAGCGGUGAAAUGCUUAGAUAUGACAUAGAACACCAAUUGCGAAGGCAGCUUACUACACGGAUAUUGACACUGAGGCACGAAAGCGUGGGGAUCAAACAGGA
rnacentral:rRNA from 1 species